UUCUUCAUUAAAAUACUUUGCAAUAGACAAAAUCGUCAUUUCACCUUUUUCACAAUUAAAUUUCACAAAAACAAAUUAUUUUCGCCAAAAAUAUGUCCUAUUUGAUUUAUGAAUUCUCUCUUUUUCAAACUACUCAAUUUCCCAUUAGAAAGUAGAGAAAGAAAAAAGAGAAAGAAAAAGAGAGUCCGAAGUUGUAAUUGAAAGAAAAAAAAAAGAGACCUGCAAUGUAAGGAAAAUAAAACAAAAGUCAACAACAUUGAUUGAUUAGGGAUUCUCAUACAGUAACCUAAGACAAACCAAAUUGAAAAUCCGUCAACCACUGUCGAAAGCAGGGGAAGAAAACAAAAUCGUGAAGCUUGGCCUUAUUUAUCAGGGAAGGAGCGGAGAAAAGAACUUCUGGCCUCGAUUUCUAAUUUAAGAGAGAAGUAGAAGAAGAAGAUUCGAUCGAAGGAAACCAUACAAGUUGCUCGAGGUGACGAGUUUGGUAUUCUGACACGAGUACUGUGACGUUGGUAAGGAUUUCGCUAGCUAGAAGAUUCGAGUUGGUAUAUUCAUGGUGAGCCCCGCAUUUGUUGCGUAGGCAACAGUUUAAUUAAUCGUUAUGUUCUUCUCCUUGAAACUCUUAGUCACUCCAUAGACACUUCUUUAGAGUUUGAGUAUUCUUUUAUUAUUUCGAUUUUGUGAAGUUAUUGACUUCUUCUCAUGGUUUGGAGAUGGAUUUCGUAUUAUUAUUUUGUAGUGAAUGGGUGUUGAUGGAUUUGGUGGAUCAUGUUGGUGUUAUGGAUGGAUUGGUUGUGACGUUGGGUUGUUGUGUUUAUUGAAUUGAGACAGAAAUUUUUUUUUUU